rnacentral:rRNA from 1 species
UACGUAGGGUGCAAGCGUUGUCCGGAAUUAUUGGGCGUAAAGAGCGUGUAGGCGGCCAUACAGGUCAGCUGUGAAAACUCGAGGCUCAACCUCGAGACGUCGGUUGAAACCGUAUGGCUAGAGUCCGGAAGAGGAGAGUGGAAUUCCUGGUGUAGCGGUGAAAUGCGCAGAUAUCAGGAAGAACACCCGUGGCUAAGGCGGCUCUCUAGUACGGUACUGACGCUGAGACGCGAAAGCGUGGGGAGCGAACAGG